AGUGAACGCUGGCGGCGUGCUUAACACAUGCAAGUCGAACGAGAACGGAUUAUAGCUUGCUAUAAUUGUCAGCUAAGUGGCGCACGGGUGAGUAAUGUAUAGGUAAUAUGCCUCUUACUAAGGGAUCCCAGAUGGAAACGUUUGCUAAUACCUUAUACUCCUUAUUAACAGAAGUUAAUCAGGGAAAGAUUUAUUGGUAAGAGAUUAGCCUGUAUUGUAUCAGUUAGUUGGUGGGGUAAUGGCUUACCAAGACUAUGACACAUAACUGGUUUGGGAGGAUGGUCAGUCACACUGGAACUGAGACACGGUCCAGGCUCCUACGGGAGGCAGCAGUGGGGAAUAUUGCACAAUGGACGAAAGUCUGAUGCAGCAACGCCGCGUGGAGGAUGACACAUUUCGAUGCGUAAACUCCUUUUAUAUGAGAAGAUAAUGACGGUAUUAUAUGAAUAAGCGCCGGCUAACUCCGUGCCAGCCGCCGCAGUAA
rnacentral:rRNA from 1 species